rnacentral:rRNA from 1 species
CGCACAGUAAACGAUGAAUACCAGCUGUUGGCGCUAGACAGUCAGCGGCGUAAGCGAAAGCGUUAAGUAUUCCACCUGGGGAGUACGCCGGCAACGGUGAAACUCAAAGGAAUUGACGGGGGCCCGCACAAGCGGAGGAACAUGUGGUUUAAUUCGAUGAUACGCGAGGAACCUUACCCGGGCUUGAAUGGCAACCGAAUAAUCGAGAGAUCGAUUAGCCGUAAGGCGGUUGUGAAGGUGC